UAAUACCAACUCCCUGAGUGGUGGGGACGAUUAUUGGGCUUAAAGCGUUCGUAGCUGGCCUGGUUAGUCCCGCGUUAAAUCCAGCCACCUAAUCGUUGGGGUGCGGGGGAUACGGUCAGGCUUGGAGGCGGGAGAGGUUAGGGGUACUCCAGGGGUAGGGGUGAAAUCCAGUAAUCCCUGGGGGACCACCAGUGGCGAAGGCUGCUACCAGAACGCUCUCGACGGUGAGGGACGAAAGCUGGGGUAGCGAACCGGAUUAGAUACCCGGGUAGUCCCAGCUGUAAACGAUGCGGGCUAGCUGUCGGGGUGGCUACGAGCCACUCCGGUGGCGCAGGGAAGCCAUUAAGCCCGCCGCCUGGGAAGUAUGAUCGCAAGAUUG
rnacentral:rRNA from 1 species